CAUCGCGUGGAUUGUCUACGACAGUAUAACGAGCACCACAAGCCCGGGUUUAUUUAGAGUUUGCUCUCCUAGGCAGAUUGCCUACCACGGCUGACGACCUCCACCUGGCCGGGUUUAUUGUUCGGAGUUUGCUCUCCUAGGUGAAUUGCCUACCACGGCUGACGAGCUCCACCUGCCCGGGUUUAUUGUUCGGAGUUUGCUCUCCUAGGUGAAUUGCCUCCCACGGCUAACGACCUCCACCUGCCCGGGUUUAUUGUUCGGAGUUUGCUCUCCUAGGUGAAUUGCCUCCCACGGCUAACGACCUCCACCUGCCCGGGUUUGUAUAGAGUUUGCUCUCCUAGGUGAAUUGCCUACCACGGCUAACGAGCCUCACCUGCCCGGGUUUGUAUAGAGUUUGCUCUCCUAGGUGAAUUGCCUACCACGGCUAACGAGCCUCACCUGCCCAGGUUUGUUUAUAGUUUGCUCUCCUAGGUGAAUUGCCUACCACGGCUAACGAGCCUCA